UACGAAGGGGCUAGCGUUGUUCGGAAUUACUGGGCGUAAAGCGCGCGCAGGCGGUCUUCCAAGUCAGUGGUGAAAGCCCGGAGCUCAACUCCGGAACUGCCAUUGAAACUGUAAGACUUGAGGAUGAGAGAGGUGAGUGGAAUUCCCAGUGUAGAGGUGAAAUUCGUAGAUAUUGGGAAGAACACCGGUGGCGAAGGCGGCUCACUGGCUCAUAAUCUGACGCUCAGGCGCGACAGCGUGGGGGAGUCAAAACAGGA
rnacentral:rRNA from 1 species